rnacentral:piRNA from 1 species
UGGUCCCGUGGAAAGACACAAGCAACAC